CACACGAAACACAACACAGAGACGGCGGAAAUAUUUUAUUUCCUCAUCGAUUACAAAAGUGGAAAAAAAAACAUAUAAUAAAAGAUAAUGAUCAAUAUUUUUAAAGAUUUUUAUAUAUUUGAUUUCAAGCAGUUUACGCUGUAUCAAUCAAGAACACUUUCUGUCCUGAUUAAUGCAUGACCUAAUUCGUAAACAGGUGAACAAACGGAGAUUGUCGAAUUCCUACGAUGCAAUACACAUCCUCACUUUUCGCUGAGCAUCACUUGGUAUUAUAAUUAGUAAUCUAUAAAUAGUACUGGUAUAUAAACUGUCUGUUAGGUAUGACUGCUGACAUAACACAGACUGAACUAUGAUGUGUGAUCAUCGGUACACCUUACAGUGAAAUAUCUUCUGUUCAAAUGAGUAUUUCUUAUACACAC
rnacentral:lncRNA from 1 species